AGAGCAUUCUCAUCACAUCCCCAACAGAAAUUUCAAGUAAAGAAUUUGAUUCAUUAUUCUCUCCACAACAUUCACUCCACUAAAUAAAUAUAUAUACACUACACAUACAGAGAGAGAGAGAGAGGAGUUCUAAAUUUUCUUGUGCUAGCAAAUCUUGUUAAGAGAUGAGUGAACCACCAAAAUAUGCUUACCCCUAUCCUGUUCAAGGAUACUACCAGGGGCCGCCGGUGGUGGCGCCGCCACAGUAUGCGGCAGCGCCGCCGAAGAGGGAGCCAGGAUUCCUGGAAGGGUGCCUUGCGGCGAUGUGUUGCUGCUGUUUAAUGGAUGAAUGCUGCGACUUGCUAUGGCUCUUCUAGGACUUCACUCAUUUUCUUUAAAUCUGUCUUUAAAAUAUUAUGUACAAUAUUUUCGUCAUAAUUAGAAGAAAAAUAUAAAGUUAUGUACUUAUAUUAAUAUAAUGAAAUAAUGCUACAUUUGUGGAUAUUUCUCGCUAGAGAUUUGAUAUGAAAUUGGAAAUUAUGGAUACUUAUUUUAUUUGUCUUGUUCAA